UGAGCAAUAACAGGUCUGUGAUGCCCUUAGAUGUUCGGGGCCGCACGCGCGCUACACUGACCGGAUCAGCGUGUGCUCUCCUUGGCCGACAGGUCCGGGAAACCCGUUGAACCCCGGUCGUGCUAGGGAUAGGGAAUUGCAAUUAUUUCCCUUGAACGAGGAAUUCCCAGUAAGCGCGAGUCAUUAGCUCGCGUUGAUUACGUCCCUGCCCUUUGUACACACCGCCCGUCGCUACUACCGAUUGAAUGGUUUAGUGAGGUCCUCCGAUUGGACCCGGUCCGGGCGGCGACGUCCGAGCCGGCGUCCGAGAAGACGAUCUAACUUGAUCAUUUAGAGGAAGUAAAAGUCGUAACAAGGUUUCCGUAGGUGAACCUGCGGAAGGAUCAUUA
rnacentral:ncRNA from 1 species